UACGUAGGGGGCAAGCGUUGUCCGGAUUUAUUGGGCGUAAAGAGCGUGUAGGCGGUUAUGCAGGUCCGCUGUGAAAACUGGAGGCUUAACCUCCAGACGUCGGUGGAAACCGUAUGACUAGAGUCCGGAAGAGGAGAGUGGAAUUCCUGGUGUAGCGGUGAAAUGCGCAGAUAUCAGGAAGAACACCCGUGGCGAAGGCGGCUCUCUGGGACGGUACUGACGCUGAGACGCGAAAGCGUGGGGAGCGAACAGG
rnacentral:rRNA from 1 species